GACAGAGGGUGCAAACGUUGUUCGGAAUUACUGGGCGUAAAGCGCGUGUAGGCGGUUUGGUAAGUCGGAUGUGAAAGCCCCGGGCUCAACCCGGGAAGUGCACUCGAUACUGCCAAGCUAGAGUAUCGGAGAGGUUGGUGGAAUUCCCGGUGUAGCGGUGAAAUGCGCAGAUAUCGGGAGGAACACCCGUAGCGAAGGCGGCACUCUGGGCCGGAACUGACGCUGAGGAGCGAAAGCGUGGGGAGCAAACAGG
rnacentral:rRNA from 1 species